GCGGCCAGUGGUUAGGACAUCGUCUUUUCAUGUCGAAGACACGGGUUCGAUUCCCGUAAGGGAUA
rnacentral:tRNA from 1 species